AUUGAACGCUGGCGGCAGGCCUAAUACAUGCAAGUCGAGCGGAGCGGCGGACGGGUGAGUAAUGCCUAGUAAUCUGCCUGUUAGUGGGGGAUAACGUCCGGAAACGGGCGCUAAUGCCGCAUACUAUCAGAUGAGCCUAGGUUGGAUUUGCUAGUGGGUGGGGUAAAGGCCUACCAAGGCGACGAUCCGUAACUUGUCUGAGAGGAUGAUCAGUCACACUGGAACUGAGACACGGUCCAGACUCCUACGGGAGGCAGCAGUGGGGAAUAGUGGACAAUGGGCGAAAGCCUGAUCCAGCCAUGCCGCGUGUGUGAAGAAGGUUUUCGGAUUGUAAAGCACUUUAAGUUGGGAGGCGUUACUAACAGAAUAAGCACCGGCUAACUUCGUGCCAGCAGCCGCGGUAAUAC
rnacentral:rRNA from 1 species